CUUCCGGUGGUGGCUGAGGGCUCGUGCUCGAGGCUGAGGGAUGCUGGUGACUCCCGGGGUCCCCAGCCCCGCCCCCAUCGGACGCCUCCACAGGCGGCGCACCCUUUCCGCCAUCCGCAGAGCAAGGCUGCCUCGGGGCGGCUCAGUCCGGCGCUUCUUACCUUACCUCCGUCUCAUCCUUAACUCACCACGAGCGUCCAGGGUCCACAUCCUCCUAAAUGGCCACUCGUCUUAAUCUCGGCGUCAGGACCCACGCGGGGUCAGGACUACCCCUCCGCUUCCAUGACUGUCUCCUCGCGGCUCCGGCUCCCACGGAGCGACCCCUCCGGGUUUUACUGACCCCGGGAUGUUGUAUCCUGGAAACUGCAGUUCCACCCAGGGGCUUGAUCUGGGUUAGUCUGGGGGCAAGUGAGCCGCCGAUUCUGUUUGGGUUUUUUUUUUUUUUUUUUUGAGACGGAGUUUCCCUCUUGUUGCCCGGGCUGGAGUGCAAUGGCGCGAAGUCGGCUCAACGCAACCUCCGCCUCCCAGGUUCAAGCGACUCUUCUGCCUCAGCCUCCCAAGUAGCUGGGACUACAGGCAUGCGCCACCACGCCAGGCUAAUUUUGUAUUUUUAGUAGAGACGGGGUUUCUCCAUGUUGGUCUGGCUGGUCUUGAACUCCCGAGCUCAGGUGAUCUGCCCGCCUCGGACUCCCAAAGUGCUGGGAUUACAGGCGUGAGCCACCAUUCCCGGGCGCUGUUUGGGUUUGUUUUUUUGUUUUUGUUUUUUACGUUCACAGCAUGGACGGUCAGUGUGAAGAUCCCAGCUGCUCGGGUCCUAGCUGGAAUUCUUCCAUUAAAAAAAUCUGUUUGUUAUGCAUGGGUUAGUUCACAGAGGAAUAGCUGGAUAAGUGCUGGCUUUUUCCCCGAUUUACCCAUUUUCAACCUAAUAAUGCAGGUUUUUGAAAUAAUGUGAAUGGUUACUGCUGGCGGAUGUUCACAGGGACACACCGGAUUCUACAGACACAUCUGAUGAUCUAGCCACGGCUGUCACUUUCCCCACUGCCGCGUUGUCCAUCACUAGGACUUUACUGCCAAUCCUUGCAAGAUAGUGGGGAACUAGAAUAACAGACAUGGGACAUUACCAGUUACAACCAAAGACAAGCUUGGCACAUUUGACUGUCCUCGUUCCUGCUCCUCCGUGCCUGGCCCUCUUCAGGCUUCUCAGCUCCUGGGGAGCGGCCAGCCAGGGAGCAUCAGCUGGUGGGAGCGAUGGGGUUGUGGGAUGGCACAAAAAAACACCAAGCGCCACUCAGAAAGGAAAUGCCGAAUGCAGACUCUCACUCAGUCGGUGUGGGGGCCAGGACCCUGUCUCUACCAAGUGUGCGGGAGCUGCCCCUGGCCGGGAGCUCCCAGACCCCACUGCAGAGCCCCCGCUAGACAGCAGGAGCACCCUGCUCUGUCAGCCUGCUUCCCCAGGACGGAGGCCCUGGUGGUAAGGCAGGCAGGUCUUGAGCCCCCACAAGACAGCAGGAUACAACAUAACCCUUUUUAAUCUGAAGUGUAGACUUCAUCCUCACGUUAGAAAACUCCAUCUUUUUUUU
rnacentral:lncRNA from 1 species